GUGGGGAGGGGAAUAAAACCCCGUCGUUUUGCUUGGCUUAUUUAAGCCAAAUUUGAUUUUUUUUUAUUUAUUUCAGCACCAUCUAAAAAAAAAAAAGAAAAAGAAACAGAGAGUUCUCUUUGCUCUCCCUUCACUCCCCAUGUCUGGCGAUAGGGUUUCCCGGUGUCCAUUGCGCCGCCGUUGUGGGCCAGUGGCCGGCGUUGCACGAAUGGGUUUCUUCCGGCGUCGAGGAGGCCAACGGAGGCGCUGAGGAGGUCAACGGAGGGAGCGGGUGACCUUCUUGCUGUUUUGGUGAAACUACGGCAGAGGGACGUCAGAUCCUCGGGACUAGAAGCCUCGGGACGAGGUGCUGACGUGGCGUUAGUGGCGGCACAUCCACAAUUCUAGGGUUUUUUUAGCUGAUAGUGUUUAAUUUUUGGUGAAUUUUUGGGUUAAUCGGGCCUUGUGGCUUUUGGGCUUGUGUUUGGGUUAAUUUUUUUAUAAAUGGACUGUUUAUUAUUUUUUGGGUUUUUAUUUAAUGGGCCGGGCAAAUUUGGGCCUAUACAGACGGUUAUAGCUUAAAAAUGUUUGUUCAAAUUAACUCAAAAAUAAUUAUUAGACUGUGUUAUGAUAA